rnacentral:rRNA from 1 species
GAUAAACGCUGGCGGCGCACGUAAGACAUGCAAGUUGAACGGACUUAAUCGAAAUAUUUAUAUUUUGAAGCGGUUAGUGGCGGACUGGUGAGUAACGCGUAAGGAACCUGCCUAUUAGAGGGGAAUAACAGUGAGAAAUCAUUGCUAAUACCGCAUAUGCCAUAGAUAUCACAUGAUAACAGUGGGAAAGGAGCAAUCCGCUAAUAGAUGGCCUUGCGUCUGAUUAGAUAGUUGGUGGGGUAACGGCCUACCAAGUCGACGAUCAGUAGCCGGACUGAGAGGUUGAACGGCCACAUUGGGACUGAGAUACGGCCCAGACUCCUACGGGAGGCAGCAGUCGGGAAUAUUGCGCAAUGGAGGAAACUCUGACGCAGUGACGCCGCGUAUAGGAAGAAGGUUUUCGGAUUGUAAACUAUUGUCGUUAGGGAAGAGAAAGGACAGUACCUAAGGAGGAAGCUCCGGCUAACUACGUG